ACGGAAGGAGCAGUGGGGAAUAUUGCACAAUGGGGGAAACCCUGAUGCAGCAACGCCGCGUGAGUGAAGAAGUAUUUCGGUAUGUAAAGCUCUAUCAGCAGGGAAGAAAAUGACGGUACCUGACUAAGAAGCCCCGGCUAACUACGUGCCAGCAGCCGCGGUAAUACGUAGGGGGCAAGCGUUAUCCGGAUUUACUGGGUGUAAAGGGAGCGUAGACGGCGAAGCAAGUCUGAAGUGAAAGCCCACGGCUCAACCGUGGAACUGCUUUGGAAACUGUUUUGCUAGAGUGCAGGAGGGGCAGGCGGAAUUCCUAGUGUAGCGGUGAAAUGCGUAGAUAUUAGGAGGAACACCGGUGGCGAAGGCGGCCUGCUGGACUGUAACUGACGUUGAGGCUCGAAAGCGUGGGGAGCAAACAGGAUUAGAUACCCUGGUA
rnacentral:rRNA from 1 species